AAUGAACGCUGGCGGCGCGCCUAAUACAUGCAAGUCGAGCGAGAAGACGUAGCAAUACGUUUGUAAAGCGGCGAACGGGUGAGGAAUACAUGGGUAACCUACCCUAGAGUGGGGAAUAACUAGCCGAAAGGUUAGCUAAUACCGCGUACGCUCCUUGGACUUCGGUUCAGGGAGGAAAGCGAUGCCGAGGGUAUCGCGCUCUUGGAUGGGCUCAUGUCCUAUCAGCUUGUUGGGAGGUAACGGCUCACCAAGGCUUCGACGGGUAGCUGGUCUGAGAGGACGAUCAGCCACACUGGCACUGCGACACGGGCCA
rnacentral:rRNA from 1 species